rnacentral:lncRNA from 1 species
CCGCAAACUUGGCAGCGGGUGAACACAAAGCUGAAAAGUUUGAAUGCACUUGAAGAUGGUUUUGAAGGAGACAUGAAGAAUUGAAGCAUGAUGCUUGUAGUGUUGGCAAAUGGUUCUAUUCACCAUUGUAGACAAACAUUAGUGUGAGAUCUUUUCAGGCCUAUACUUAGAGAGUAUCACAUGGCUUCAUUCAGAGGUUUUUUUUGAAUUUGGAGAGCUUAGUUGAUCUCACUCAGAGGUAUAAUUGUGACCUCUUUGUCUCACUAUGAAUAUAGGUUUCCAUUACCUAUUUCAUUCUUCUAGUAUGUCUCAUGAAAAACUCUUUCCACACCUACUAAACAAAGCUCUACUCAAUCUCUGCCUUCCAUCUAUGUACCACCAAAAUUGUGCUUCUAAACAACCUGCCAUUCUCGUUGGCAUUUCAGCGAGCACUUUGUGUGCUUAUACAAAACCAGACUUGCUUCCAUAAACCCAUUGUUAUAACUAACCGCAGCCUACUGCCUUUGUCGAGAACAGAAACUAAGCCUCAGAUUUUUUUUUUUUUUUUUUGGUGAGGAAAGAUGCUGGCAGCUUGCUCGACGGUUUUCUUCUGGCCCGGCUGUUAUGCUGUAAAAGAGCAGCCUUAUCCCUCUUAUUAUAUGAAUUAAACUAUCUUUUAUAUCUCUUGAAGGCAACACAAGCUUCAUCAUUUUUUCUUUUUUUUUUAGCGCUGGAUAAUUAUGCUAUUACGACUAUGAGAAAUAUUACAGACGAUUCUAUAGCCGACAAUUCUACGUGUCAUAUGAGGAUUCACGCCUGACUUCAUCACCUGAGCCGUCCUAUGGGAUCCUUGCUUGACGGUACUCCUUGCGCCAUGCUGGAGAUCUCUUGUAAGCCUUUUCUUUUUUAAUUCGCAUAAUUCCGCCUUCUCCGGGAAUUGAAACCCAGACCUCUUGGUGUAGAAGCAUUAAUGAACCCUUAGUCAAACCACUGGACCAAAG